CACGAACUUCAAAGGUUGGACUGAGACGACUACUAGCUAAUAUCGGAGACAAAUUCACAUCUAUCCAUUUAUUAGUAAAGCUUGGGAAAUGUUCGUCUGAAAUUGCGUAAUGCGCAACAUUGAAAUUACGAUAAACAAUCAAUAGUGGCUCGAAUCAAAUCUAGACAACGUUCGUCGUGGCAGCUUUAUUUGGCAAAGAUGAAGGCGAAUUCCGACAAACCGGACAAGAGUUAUGCAACUUGAGCCACGGGUCGAUGCAUUCGGUGUGGAAGCAAUGUUCACAUUCGGGUAAGCACUUAACGGUCUCUUCACUUGUGUAUUCUGAUAAACAAAUGGGACAGAGAGUGUCAUUUCGCCAAGGGACACUCUUGGCUUGUUGUUGGAUUGGGAUAAAAAUGAUACAGACGGCAGGAGUUAUCACUAUGAAGAAUGGUACGGAUAGGCAUAAGCAUAAUAUCUUUAACGUUAUUAACCAAGGGUUUCCUGAAAGAUAGAAAAAAGUCUAACAUUUUUAAGAAAAAUUGUUCUUUGAUAUGUUCUUGAUGAAGCCAAGAUUUUGAUUUCAAGUUGGGGUGUAUAUGUGAGAACUUAUAGGACGAGAGGGUUACCAGAAUCAACGUAUGUGAAGCAUUUGACUUUGAGGAUGGUAUUGUUUAUGAAGCUACAUAACGGACUAAAAUCAACACAACCUGUGCAAUCCGGUGAGUCCCAUUUCAGCCAGAGGUCUUGUUUGUUGAGAUCACCUGCGAGUGGUGAAGAGACCGGAAGAAGUAGUGUCUUCAAGGUUUGACAAGAGGACGGCAUUGAACCGGUGAGAUCUGAAGGUGUGGAAUUAGUAAGGCAAUGGAUGGGUUCCAAAGAAGAGGAUUUGACGUUUUCGUUAUGACAGCUCAAGAAAGUGUAGUUGACAAGGUGAAGAGGAGAAAAAGGAGACAUUGAAGCGUCGAAGCUGAGAAGCCGUCUGGCUAAGCAGUUAUCGGGGUCUCUAAGGUGAAUACGCUGCGACUUUAUGUCUUGGACGAGAAAUCGUCUGGAAUUUGGAAGCUUUAAGGCUGUCUCACAAUGGAGGUUGAAUCCUGGGUAGUCACAUGACGAAGAUUGCUCAGGAGAUAGCCAGAAAGGGAAGCUAACGUCAAGGUUGUUUCCUCCACAUGAAGAACUGUAGCAACGUUUUGGUUUUGAGGCAUUUAGGAGAGGAAAGUAGAAGAAGAAGAAGAAAUAGAGAAGAAGAGGGAAUUGUUUUGAGAAAGUCAUAUUGUGGUAAGGCACUAAGGGAAUUGGAAUUUACAUACUUAUAGACAAUGGAAAAAGUCAUAGAACAGUAAAGCUUAUGUUUAUCUUUAUUUUACUGAAGAGGAGAAGGAUUUGUAUACCAGAAAUACUGACUAUGAGACAAUGCACUGUGAAAGAAUCAGAGAAGCUGCUGGGAGAUUCUGAUGGAAACAAUGUCACCGUCUGUUCCUGCUUUCAUUGUGUGGUACUUCACAAGGAUUCCUGCAAUUCAAAUAUCAACUGCAUGGGGUGCAAUAACUGCUUUAGGUUGGGAAUCAUCUGCCUCUCCGGUCCAAGACUUGAGGUUGAGAAUACCUAGACAGAUUUCAUGUGGAAAUGUAUGAGAGACAAAGGAGUAUGAUUCAAAGAGGAGUAAAGGAACAUAAAAGUAAGUAAUGAAGUUACCUGAGGAUGAAGAUUUUUUAAGGUGUUUG
rnacentral:lncRNA from 1 species